GUAGGUGGCAAGCGUUGUCCGGAAUUAUUGGGCGUAAAGCGCGCGCAGGCGGUCCUUUAAGUCUGAUGUGAAAGCCCACGGCUCAACCGUGGAGGGUCAUUGGAAACUGGGGGACUUGAGUACAGAAGAGGAAAGCGGAAUUCCAAGUGUAGCGGUGAAAUGCGUAGAGAUUUGGAGGAACACCAGUGGCGAAGGCGGCUUUCUGGUCUGUAACUGACGCUGAGGCGCGAAAGCGUGGGGAGCAAACAGGGAUUAGAUACCCUGGUAGUCCACGCCGUAAACGAUGAGUGCUAAGUGUUAGGGGGGGUUUUCCCGGCCCCCCGUUUAGUGCUGCAGCUAAACGCAAUUAAGCACUCCGCCUGGGGGAGUACGGCCGCAAGGCUG
rnacentral:rRNA from 1 species